UUUUAAGGAAUAAUAUUAUUAAAUUAAAUAUGGUUUUUUUAUUAAAAGAUUUCUAAAUAUUUUGUUUGUUUGUUACAGCUGUUUUGAGGAGAGGUAUUUCUGAACCAGCUGAUAUCCACAGACCUGCGACAGGCGAGGAAAUUAAGAACAACAAAGUGGCAGCAGUGGAAGAUAACCUUAGUUGUGGUGGUGGUAGCACUGCCUCGAUACCUGUUAGUGUUGUAGAGGUGUCUUGCUCUCCCAGUGCCACUGUUGACAGUAUUGUAGUCACCGACGCCACUCACACACCCAGUAGUGGGUAUGACACCCAGUCUGACCCCAACAGAAUUAAGCAUUUACGAGAGUCUGUUGAAAGGCUAACGUCAUCUGUCGACAGGCUAGGUGAUUCUCUAGUUAAAAUUAGUAAAUCAUUAGAAAAGAUUGUAGAAAGCAAUCAACAAAUGUUUACCUCCAUAAACAGCAAUGUUGUUAGAAUUCUAGAAUCUCAACGCAACCUCCAGCCUCCCUGCUUGCCUCGCGUGAACAACCAACAGCAGCGAUAAGUCUCUAAGCUUUCUUUUACCUCUUUGCAUCAAAUUAACUGCAUCAUUGUAAUAUAAAAUAUGUGUAUAUAUAAUAUAGACGUAAAGUAAUAAAUAACGAUCAAACACUU